AACGAACGCUGGCGGCAUGCCUAACACAUGCAAGUCGAACGAGACCUUCGGGUCUAGUGUCGCACGGGUGCGUAACGCGUGGGAACCUGCCCUUAGGUUCGGAAUAACUCCCCGAAAGGGGUGCUAAUACCGGAUAAUGUCUUCGGACCAAAGAUUUAUCGCCUUUGGAUGGGCCCGCGUUGGAUUAGCUAGUUGGUAGGGUAAAAGCCUACCAAGGCGACGAUCCAUAGCUGGUCUGAGAGGAUGAUCAGCCACACUGGGACUGAGACACGGCCCAGACUCCUACGGGAGGCAGCAGUGGGGAAUAUUGGACAAUGGGAGAAAGCCUGAUCCAGCAAUGCCGCGUGAGUGAUGAAGGCCUUAGGGUUGUAAAGCUCUUUUACCCGGGAUGAUAAUGACAGUACCGGGAGAAUAAGCUCCGGCUAACUCCGUG
rnacentral:rRNA from 1 species